GACUUACAGAAUUGGCGAAACGAACGGAUCGAUGGUGAUGAAAUAUUGAAAAAUAUAGCAGAAAAAAUUACCGUUAAUUAUUCAAGGUUACGAGGUAAUUUUUGCCAUUAACGUCGAAUGGUUCCUAAAAUUUUCCAACCGUUUGGUACACCUCAGCCGUUUGAUAAAUUAACGAAGACUUACAAAUACUAAAAACCAACAAUGAUGGAUUUUUGUUGGGAUGAUUCGUCUCUCUUCAUGUCGUUCGUCUAGAUAUAGGUACGUGCGUCGCGCAGCAGUCGUUCUUUAUGGCAAGUUAGACUUGAAAUUCGAGGGGGGCUCCAAACCUGUUGGUUCAAAUCGGUCGCGAACGACUUGGCAGGUAUACCGCGACAAUACGAAUACACCUAGAACUUAGAAGUGACGAAGAGAGGUGUAUAUUUUCUAAGGGUAUGCCGGGUCUCCGCCGCUUGCCGGUAUACCACCUGCCACGGUCUAACUCGACGAUACUCCGACUCUCGGUUAUACUAUAAAGGCCUCACCUAUUCCCAUUUCGAUUCUCUUCAUGACAUUAUAGUUUGGCGGUGACAAUUACAUCAGCCGCCUUGUGCGUAUACCGCGAGCGUACCUCUUCGCGUAGUACCCGGUGUUCAUGACAGUUUUAAUUUUCUAGCUUAACUCGAUGGUGAUGGUUCGGUCGUGGUCGUGGUCGUGUACCGUAACACGACCACGCUCAAAUGAUGUCUAUUUGUAAUCGUGUUCCGAUGCAUUGCGCAGUUUUUCCUCUUCCGUACGCCGAUUUUUCACACGCGCCUAAAUACAAUGUCCCUGACUGCAGAGUGUGGAAAUUUUCCAUGAUUUUGGAAACCGUUCGUUGCGUCGCGCCGUUGAUCUGCGAUUAACCCUUAUACAUACAUAUAUGGCCAAGUUACCUACCUAGAGCCCGGAUGCACGUAAUUGGAGCUACAGCUGAUGUCUGAUGUCGUGGGUGGAAAUCGAUCGAAUUAAUGAGUGCCAGUGCCCCAAAACCUGGACGAAGCUGAACGUUUCAAGUUGCUUAUGCAAAUUUAUCCUGUCGUAUAUAAUGGUCGUUCGCGGUUGGUAACCUUUUGCUGUGCGUUUCGACUGAUGCAGUUCGAGUUCGAUAUGGGGGCGAUUUUGCCUUGUGCUCGGAUAUACCUAUUAUGGCGGAUGUGACAGCAGCGACGAACCAGCUCAAAAUUCAGCGUGGACGAAUUUUAAUUAGUGGUUUUGGUCGUUACACUGUAGAAUAAAUAAUAAGAAGUACGUAGACUUGAAAUAUGUAACUUCGGUGAUGGAUUCCGGACUUCAGAUGAUUUUUUUGGUUGCUGAAACAGGGUGUGUUAUUUAUUCUAUUUUGAAUUAUUUUACCAGCACAAGGUGAGUAACCUGAUAGUGAGUAUUUUGUGAGUUUUAAAGAUGGACACUGAAAUGACUCUAAAUACUUGGACACAUCUUCAAAAAAUUGAAGCAUAUUGUUUCAGGCGAUCAAAAUUAAGAAAAGGAAAACUUGACGAAAGAGAUGUGAGUCGAUAAACUCCCAAAAUAAUUUUAUUGAGAAGAAAUCAUCGAGAAAAUUUUCGAAAAAAGAAAACCCCAACAAAGACAAAUUUUUCCUCAAAACAAUAAAACUUUAUGAUUUUGGAUCUGAGACAAGAAAAAUCAUCAGUUUGCCAAAAAAAAUAUCAAUUCAAACUGAAUAAUUCGAGGUGAAUAACACAUUCCGAUAACUUCCUCGAUGUUUCAAUAGACAUUUUACUGAUCAAAUUACAGAUCAAAAGAAUCUUUUUUAUAUGCAAACCUCAAAAAAUCCAAUACUCCAAGUAUGUAAAACUGUAAUCAAAUUUUUCUCGAUAAAUGAUACGAAAUUCAUUCUAAUCAUUUCCUUGAUAUUUUUUAACAAAAUUCUUGAAAUUAAUUCUCUCCCUAUCCCUUCUUCUAGCAACAUUAUAAUUAGACUCUCAGGCUGACCAAAUGUUUCAGAAAUGCCUUUAAAAUGAAUAUUUUUACUCAUGAGAAUCACUAGUAGCGAUUUUUCAUUCCAAAAAGUUUAGAUGAUUUUUUUCUCCAAAAAUUACUUCUUUUUUAAAGCAAUACUAUACUUAUUCCAUGUAGUAGAGCUCCCUCGUUGUGCUUCGAACCCAAAAAUACUCCAUCCUGAAAUUAUUCCCAGAUUCACAAACUAAUCCUCCUCCCUCCCAAAUGUCUAGAUCAUUUUGAGCAAAAUGUGUUGACAUUUUUUGGUGUCAAAAACAUCAGUUGGUUCGACUUUUUUCCUCUCAUUCACUUCCUCUUGGAAUGGACAUCCUUAUCUCCUCUAAAUUCCUCAUCCAGGAUGCUUAAAAUAAAAUUACAAUAACAAAAAUGUGACUUUCCAGAUACUUUCGAAAAAUGAGGGAGGGAUGAAAAUUUUUUUUGAUAAUUUUCAUGGGUAUAAGAACAUCUACUCUGAGGACACCACAAUAAAACAAUAUUAUGCAUCUCACGAGUAAAAUUGUUGCCUCAUUUUUCACGCUUUUUUUUCAACCUCCGAAUAGAAAAUCAACAUUGUUGAUACUUUCUGAUUGCAAACAAAAAACAUCGAGCCACCUGAAGGAUUCGUAUUUUAAAAAUCCUGUUUUCUGAAAUUCUAAAUGAUUGAAAUUUUUUGAGAAUUUUAAAGGUCAAGAACCUCAUUUGGAUAAUGCAAAGUUUCAAGCUCUUAAAUUAUUAUUUUUUUUUACAACAAUCUUUCGAUGUUAUUUUUGCUUUUCGCAAUUGUUCGUUACUUCUCACUUUCAACUCCCCUUCCCCUCCCUCUCGUAACAAUAAAAACGGAAUAUCAUGGUUAUACAUUCGAAUUCUCGAAACGUUUAAAAUGAAUUUUCAUCCCUAAAUUAAAAACUGGAGUAAAUGCAUCAAUUUCUUUAAAUUUUUUCGGAAAAAUGGGAAGAGAAAGACAUCAAUUUUGGUUCGUUACUAAUUCUAAAAGAAGUUGAAAGAACAGAAUUGCAACAUUUUUUCAACAAAUAUUUUCCUAUUGAAAAAGUUUGGAUUUUUUUAGCUCUAAAAUUUGUAUGGAAACCUCUUUCAUCUACCUCGAUACUCACACUCUAAAAUUACUCCACUCCUUAUGUGUACAAUAAUUAACCAAUUUUGCUCAUUUCUUUUCUAGCAGAGCACAAGGAGGACCCAUGGGGGUGCUUCCAUUGGACGAUCAUUAUUUCGAAAAAUUUCUAAUUUAGUCAUAUUGUAUUUUGAAUUAGAAAUUUAUAACCACGUUCAGAGGCUGAAUAUUUGCCAUAAGUUGAGAAAAUAGUAUUUUUUUUAGAGCCCAACAUUUUUCAAAAAAAUUCUCCAAAUUCAAUUUCAACUCAGAGAAUCUUUCAGGCCACAUUUCGACUGCUAACGCAUUUUGAGGACCACUUUUGAUAAAAGAGAAAAAAUGUGAUGGUAUUUUUUGGAGCCUACAUUUGUCAAAAUUGAGUAAAAUCUCGAAAUUUUUGAUUGAACAGAUACAAAUCAAGGAAUCUUCUUUCUAGAGCUAUUUCUGAACCAUCGCAACACGUUUUAAAAGCCAUUUUAGAGAUGGCAGAGAAAAAGUAAAAUUUUAAUUUCAAAUUUUUUCAAAAAAAAAAAAUGUCCUAAAAUUUCAAAAUACGCGACAAUUGGACCGCUACAACACUAGAAACUUUCCACUAUAAGGUCAUAUUUUGGCUAUCAUUGUUUUUUGAAAACUACUCUCGGAAAGAGUGAAAAAAGUGUAUUUUUCGGCAGGUUACACUGUUUUUUGAAAAUUUUCCAACACUCAAAAAAUGAUAUUUUUCCGACUUACGCCAUAACUGGGUCUUCAAACAACAUUACCAUUUAAAUGUGAUUAUGAAUAGGUAAGGUUUUCCACGAUAAAAAUUGUCCAUUUGAUUUUUUCAUCACUUCAUACGAUUUCUGAGCAAUUUUGGGUAAUUCAGAACUCCUUAAAACCCUCAAUUUUGCGUUCUGGCAGCUCAAUAAUAUAAAAUACGAUAGGUACGUCGAGGUGUCUAAUAAACAGGACAGUAUUAAGUUAAUACAAAAUCCAGAACUUUGGAUAAAACUUUUUCUCAGAUAUUUCGAUUUUUCGAAGAAGGGAGGAGAAAAGAACCAAAAUUUAUCCAAGUCCACAUUUCUUUUAAAUCUAUUUUUUUCAAAUUUUUUCUCUCAACCCCAGAAAAAAUAAAAAUGAAUAAUUUAAAAAUUCUGAAAAGAAGACGUUAAAUAGAAAUAUGUAAUAUCAAAUCCGCCUUCCCCCUCCCCCUCUAAAAAAAACUUUAAAAAACGAACCUUGAACCUCGAAUUUCCUAAUUUGCUUUGAACCAGAUGAUCACACCGCAACAAUCCCAAAUUUCAACUAAUUCCAUUUCCAUUCACAGCAGACAAUCCCCAAUUAGCCACAGGUAUAUUUCAUGAUCAGCUUUGGAAUAUUUUAAAACCCGAGAAUAAAUUUCCAAAACGAAUUCCUCGUCGUCGUAUUCUGCGACUCACACGCGCAUACGUUCGUUGAAAAUAUGUUCGUCCAAUAGACCAAUACCCGAAUACGAGUAGGUAUACUUUCCUCUAUAUUGUACUCGUAUCUGCGUUUCCAUAUAGCAUUCGUGUACGGUGCAGUGCAGAGAACAGAACACAGUAUAGCACAGCACAGCACAUUCGACGAAUAAUGUCAACGCGUCUCUCUAAUUACAUUCUUUUGUUUAUAGCACACAGCAACCUGCAGUCGUUCAACGAAACAAUACAGCUGUUCAAAUUCAAAACGAGUAUGGUGCUAUGAAGAGAGCUAUCCGUCGACAGUAUAACUGAUCAUUACACUGUCAUGGAGUUGCUCUCUUUACAGAUCAGCUCAUUAUCAACGUAGAAUCGAUUACUCAUCUUCCAUAGAAUAGAAUAAUAUGUACUAUAAUGGAGCGCCUGCGUUAUUUUUAAUUAUUACGAAAUCUUUGUAUAAUAAUAAUUCUGUAUAUGUACAUUAUAAAUUAUAACGUGUAUGAUCUAUUUAGAGGUUAACAAGUGUUAAGAUGUAAACUAUAUAACCGAUGAUGAGUAGAAUUUUUAAAUAAAGUGUGGAACGAGA